UACGAAGGUGGCAAGCGUUGUUCGGAAUUAUUGGGCGUAAAGCGCACGUAGGCGGAUUUGUAAGUCGAUUGUGAAAUCCCUGGGCUUAACCCGGGAACUGCAGUCGAAACUGCAAGUCUUGAAUGCUCGAGAGGAUGGUGGAAUUCCUGGUGUAGAGGUGAAAUUCGUAGAUAUCAGGAGGAACAUCUGAGGCGAAAGCGGCCAUCUGGCGAGACAUUGACGCUGAGGUGCGAAAGCGCGGGGAUCAAACAGG
rnacentral:rRNA from 1 species